rnacentral:rRNA from 1 species
CCGGCCACACUGGGACUGAGACACGGCCCAGACUCCUACGGGAGGCAGCAGUGGGGAAUAUUGCACAAUGGGCGAAAGCCUGAUGCAGCGACGCCGCGUGAGGGAUGACGGCCUUCGGGUUGUAAACCUCUUUCAGUAGGGAAGAAGCGAAAGUGACGGUACCUGCAGAAGAAGCGCCGGCUAACUACGUGCCAGCAGCCGCGGUAAUACGUAGGGCGCAAGCGUUAUCCGGAAUUAUUGGGCGUAAAGAGCUCGUAGGCGGUUUGUCGCGUCUGCCGUGAAAGUCCGGGGCUCAACUCCGGAUCUGCGGUGGGUACGGGCAGACUAGAGUGAUGUAGGGGAGACUGGAAUUCCUGGUGUAGCGGUGAAAUGCGCAGAUAUCAGGAGGAACACCGAUGGCGAAGGCAGGUCUCUGGGCAUUAACUGACGCUGAGGAGCGAAAGCAUGGGGAGCGAACAGGAUUAGAUACCCUGGUAGUCCAUGCCGUAAACGUUGGGCACUAGGUGUGGGGGACAUUCCACGUUUUCCGCGCCGUAGCUAACGCAUUAAGUGCCCCGCCUGGGGAGUACGG